UCUACAGUUUAUUACACAAAUCCGUUACUUCUACCUUUUUUCGCUUUAUAUUGUGUAAUAUAAUUAUACUAUAUUUAGAUCUAAUGUUCGUUAACCAAUAUCAUUUGAAGCAAACUCUAAAUAUGGGGUUGUUGGGGGCGCGUGAGGGGUGUUCUGCCGCGUGCUCGCUGCCGGCGCAGAGAGCUGGCGGGCACACGGGUGCGAGUGGCGCUCGUGCGAGUGCCGCGCCGAGCUGUGUCGCACGGAGCACGAGUGACGGUACUCCCUUCAUGUUACUUCAGUAUGCUGACAUCCUGUAGUGUAGAAUGCUGACUGCGACACCACAACUAUUAUGUUCGUGACGGAAUUACGUGAGAUAGAUUGUGAGGACAAGUAUGGUUUGGACGGUGACGUCCGUUGUCACAUUUGUUGUUCAACAUGGCUAUGCAUGUGAUUCUAGCAACCCCUAUGAAGUGUUAGCAGGGGGUAGCAGUAGAGAGACACCAGAUAAAGUAUGUGUACUAUUA